rnacentral:rRNA from 1 species
GACGAACGCUGGCGGCGCGCUUAACACAUGCAAGUCGUGCGGUGUCGAAGGCAAGUCUUACGACAAGCCUUCGACACAGCGGCGAACGGGUGAGUAACACGUGAGUAGCUGUCCUAAGGAGGGGGAUAACGCCUGGAAACGGGUGCUAACACCCCAUAUGCCUCGCAAGAGGUGAAAGUGUACUUGCUACAGCCUUAGGGUGUGCUCGCGGCCUAUCAGCUAGUUGGUGAGGUAACGGCUCACCAAGGCUAAGACGGGUAGCCGGCCUGAGAGGGUGUACGGCCACACUGGAAUUGAGAUACGGUCCAGACUCCUACGGGAGGCAGCAGUGGGGAAUCUUGGGCAAUGGGCGAAAGCCUGACCCAGCGACGCCGCGUUGGGGAUGAAGCCCUUCGGGGCGUAAACCCAUGUUGUAGGGGACGAAGAAAGUGACGGUACCCUACGAGAAAGCCCCGGCCAACUACGUGCCAGCAGCCGCGGUAAAGCUAACGUAGA